rnacentral:lncRNA from 1 species
CACAAAUAGGAGAAAAAGAAAAAUGUGUGACGUUAGACUAUUACCAUUCGUUCACUUUUCCUACUGAGUUAGCUUUAGCAUGGCUCGUAGGUGUAUUGUCCUCGGUUGUCCAAAAUCUAAUGGAUUACACAACUUCCCAGUGGACUUGGAAAUUAGGCAAAAGUGGUUUAGUGCAAUUGGCAUUGAAUCCAGCGAACUCCGUCCUGGUGAUGGGAUUUGCAAUGAACAUUUCACUCGGGAUUGUUUUGCUAACUUCAUCGAGGUUGAAAUGGGUUUUCUUAAGCGCCUCCGACUAAAGAGCCACGCUGUGCCAACGCUUGCUCUUCGGCGAUUGAGUCAACAGUAUCGCCGUUUGGAGCCUAAAGUUCCUCAAGAAAUUGGCUGUCCCACUGCACUAGUCACAUGCAUCUGCAAGUCUGAAGGUCUCUAAACUUUAAAAAGUAGUUAUCUUUACACUUGUGCGUCUGCAUUUUGUACCCAUAGCUGUAUACCUUGUUUUGAAUUAAUAAUUAUUUUGUAAAGGGACACAAGUAAAAGUUGGAAACAGAAGUGUAUCAUGUGACACUGGGAUCUUGACAGAGCAUUCUUUUUCAGAAAGUCGCAGGGCUUGCUCGACAUCAUUAAAAAGGAAGAGAUGGGAAUGGUCCACUAAUGGCUCGAGCAACCAGAUGGAUGGCGGUCCAAGCACUGGGAAUUGCACAAGCACCUGUGAAGUCUCUCCUAACACUGGGAAGAAGUACAUUGUUAAUGAAGACCAGUUGCUGAAGCUUUUCCAAAGGUGUCCUGUUUGCAGCCAGACCUGCACUAUUCAAAAAUCAACAGAUGGGACUAUCCUCCGUGUCAAUCAGCGGUGUCCUCGCUGUGACUACCAUAAUGAAUGGUCCAGUCAGCCAUUGGUUAAUGACAUUCCUGUAGAGAACAAUGAGCUCAGUGCUGCCAUUCUUGUCAAUGGUUCUUCAUCUAGUCAGAUAUCCAAGGAAAGGAACUCCAGUCCGGACCAAGCAGAACCAGAACCUCCACAGAUCAAAGAGGAACUGUGCAGCAAUCAGGAAGGAAAGGAGCUGCUCCUGAACCUGCAGACUGAUGUGAAGGAGAAGAUUAAGUCUGAAUGUGAAGAGACAUUGAAAGUAUGUGGGAACAUCAUGUCUAACUUCAAGGCAGAGUUGGAUCAGGACUGCAGUCUGCAGAACACCAUCAGGAUUCCUGAAACACAGCUUCAAAGAAAAGGUACGUGAUCUCCUGUUCUGGCUAAAAAUCCGAACAGAAAGAACUUUCUCAACGUUUUUUUGUGUUAACAUGAAAGUUGUUGACCAAGAACGACAAA